GAUGAAGAACGCAGCGAAAUGCGAUAAGUAGUGUGAAUUGCAGAAUUCAGUGAAUCAUCGAAUCUUUGAACGCACAUUGCGCCCUUUGGUAUUCCUUAGGGCAUGCCUGUUCGAGCGUCAUUUAAACCUUCAAGCUAAGCUUGGUGUUGGGGACCUGCGGCUGCCGCAGGCCCUGAAAACCAGUGGCGGGCUCGCUGUCACACCGGGCGUAGUAGAUUUUAUCUCGCUCAGGGCGUGCUGCGGGUUCCGGCCGUUAAAAAGCCUUUUUUACCCAAGGUUGACCUCGGAUCAGGUAGGAAGACCCGCUGAACUUAAGCAUAUCAAUAAGCGGAGGA
rnacentral:misc_RNA from 1 species